UUCUGAACUUCCCUUUAAGUUACAAAACAAGUCUUUGUGGUUAAAUAUACUUGUGAAAUUUUGGUGAAAAAAUUUACGAGAGGUACUUGAGAGACGGAGCUAAUAAUAUAAGGAUAAUAAAUGAAAAUACACAUUUUAACAAAUAAAAUACUAUCUGGCUGAAAAGAAAAAUAAUAGUUACAUUACAUGAAAGAAACCAAUAGCAACUCGUGUUAUUCGGGGAUUCAAUUAAUAAAUUUAUGAUACAAACAGUUCGUAAUCAACAUUACAUUGAAAACGUCGUGUGUAACUUAAUUAAACGCCGUUUAAAAUGCAUAUUUUCGAAAAUCAUAAUUUUGUAAAAUCAUUUUUUUUUCCAAAUUCAUUAAAAAAAUGCAUGAUUUGCAAAAAAAUCAAAUUGUUCAAAUCGAUUUACAAAUGUGUACAAUGCAAAAAGACGUGUCACAGGAAAUGUCUAAGAAAGUCUUUAAAAAGUGAACAGGAAUUAAAGAACGUUUAUCACAGAAACAAAACAACAAUUCGAUAACAAACAAUAUCAAUCCGGCUGCGACCGUUAACGCUCAUGAUAACCGAAAUGGAUAUUUUGUUAUGCCAGACUUCAAUAAUUCGCUAACGGAAUUUUCGGGACGAGAAGCUAGCCAUGAAGCUCAAUUAUGGAUUGAUUCAGUUGACAGCGUUGCCAGAUUACAUGGAUGGCCAGAAAGUUUUAAAAUGGAAAUUGUCCGGACUAAGCUAGUGGGCCCAUCGCGUAACUGGUACAUUGGCCGUACAUUUACGUCUUGGAGUAGUUUUGUUGAUCAAUUUAAGAACACGUUUGUCGGACAUACACUUGAUACGGUCGAUCGAGUUCGUAUUAUGUCUAAUCGUGUCCAAGUAAAAAAUGAGAGUGUAUUCGAUUAUUUCCACCACAAGUCUAGACUAUGUCGUGAAAUUGGAUUAUCGUUUCGUGAAGAAAAGCGACAGAUCGUCGAGGGCUUGUAUUCCCGUGAUCUCUGCAAUUAUUUAUUAGCACGUGACCAUUUAAGUGAAAACGAACUUUUAUCUGAUUUACGUGCGUUCGAUACCGUGAAUGUUGCGCGUAAUAUUCGUUUUCGUGUGGGAGAGAAUUCUAAGAGUUUGAACGACGGUGUUAACCAAAGUAAAAAUAAUAAAGUAAAUCAACAUUUAACAACAAAUUAUCGACCGGUAACGGGAGAACCAACUAAGGCUCAAUCAUCGGCAAAAUCAUCGAAUAUCCGUAAGCAGAAGGACCUGUCUCAAAUUACGUGUUUUAACUGCAAAUCGCUUGGACACUUCGCCAAUGUGUGUCCAACCCGUAUCUGUCAAAAGUGUCACAGUUUGGGUCACUCGGAACGAAGUUGCCCUGACUUCCGAAGUAAUCAGCAAAACGACAGAAUUGAAUGGUCCAGACGACAAGACACAGAUUGAUUCAAGUACAAAUCAAACGAAUAAAACCGAUGAAAUGGAAAUUCUUACAGUUGACGAAGAUAUCGUACAUGAAAAAGAAAUGCCGAAAACACAAACAACACAUACAACAGAAGACGUUGAAAAAUCUAUGGAAAACGAUGAUGUAUUGCGAAAAAACAUAAUAAUAAAUAAACAAAAAUCUGAAAAUGAAGUAUGCUAUGCUCAAGAUCCAACCAUUUAUGAAUAUGAUGAAAAGUAUGAUAUUUUUUUCCUAUGUUUUAUUUAAUAUACCUAUGAUUGGCCAUACAGUCUGGGGGAACGGGGUAAAUAAAAUAAGGCAAGGGGGGCCAACUUCACGCAGCCCCCCCUUUUGAGCUAAGAAUUUCAAAAUACCACCAACAUUUUGCAAAUAAUUUGCAAACAUUUGCAAAUUGGUUUUCAGAAUUUGCAAAUCAAUAUUUAUUUUCCCCGGUCGAUUCGGAAAAUAUUCUAAUAUUUUGAAAAUGAAUUGAUUUAUAGAUAAGUUAAAUAAAUAAAUAAAUAAAU